rnacentral:rRNA from 1 species
CCUACGGGAGGCAGCAGUGGGGAAUAUUGCACAAUGGGGGAAACCCUGAUGCAGCGACGCCGCGUGAAGGAAGAAGUAUUUCGGUAUGUAAACUUCUAUCAGCAGGGAAGAAAAUGAUGGUACUUGACUAAGAAGACCCGGCUAACUACGAACCAGCAGCCGCGGUAAUACGUAGGGGGCAGGCGUUUUUCGGAUGUACGGGGUGGAAAGGGUGCGUAGGCGGUUUAGCAAGUCAGAAGUGAAAGCCCGGGGCUGAACUCCGGGACUGCUUGUGAAACUGUUGAACUAGAUUGCAGGAGAGGUAAGUGGAAUUCCUAGUGUAGCGGUGAAAUGCGUAGAUAUUAGGAGGAACACCAGUGGCGAAGGCGGCUUACUGGACUGUAAAUGACGCUGAGGCUCGAAAGCGUGGGGAGCAAACAGGAUUAGAUACCCUAGUAGUC